rnacentral:lncRNA from 1 species
UGCCUGUUAGGUUUGUCCAAUUCAACAUAUGGUUCUUACCCGUCAUCUGAAAACUGACCUCUAGGCGUCAGCCUCCUGUCUUAGGUUGAUACCACUGCAAUUGGAUCAUACCCGUCACUGACUACCGGUCCAGCAUAUAGCCAUACUUGUGGAUAGGCCUAUGCACCAGUGCGGGGGUGAGGUUCUUUGCCUCACCUCUGUUGGCCCCCAAAUUUGGCCUUGGUGCCGGUGGGGGGGUGUUCGCCUCUGUUGGCCCCCCAAAUUAGACCAUCACUAGUAGAAGGGAGGAGGAUACAGAAAUGCCACGACACCAAGUCAAUUGACGGCUCCUAGGAAAAAUUGCAUCACUGGUGACACAUCAGCAAAGAUAUGCUAGCACUACCAUAAUUCGCUGCAUCAACAGAUCACAAUGCAUACAAGUGAUACAUAGUCCAGGCAAGUUCUGUAAGCAGUUCAAAGCGGAGGAAUCUAUCAAUAUGUCCAUAUCCUCCCAAAAUAAAUCGACUCAUUGAUUGAGCAUUACUUGUUGAGUUAUUAAUCAUUGAUGUAUCAGUUUAUACAGUUUGUUGUGAUAACUCUCGAAGAAGUUGUAGUUUGGUUUCAUCUUUGUCUUCACCGGCACUGGGAUGAAAAUAGGAAUUCUGACAAUGAUGCUAAAAAAAAAUAUGUAACAUUUCAACAGGUACUAAGAAAACAAUUUUUAGAACAAUUUACAUUAUCCUGAACAGAAUUAUUAAAUAUAGUGAAAAGGAAAGGUGAAAGUAAACAAACAGAUCUGUUAACCUCCUAUUUGUUCAUAUAUUAAAACAAUCCUCAACAGCUGUUUACCCAAAUUAAAUUAAACUAUUAAAAUCACGUGAAUAAUAAAAAAAAUUCGGAUCCAUAUUCAUGAGCGCUCCUCAUAUAUGAUAUAUGGACAUAUGCACAUACAGACAUACAACACAAAUCAGAAGUGUGCACACGUAACAUACAACACAUAAGACAAUAGUAAAGGCCUUGUAGCUUUACCUAGGUGAAAUCUCCAUUGCAAUGUUUAAAAACUCCACAGUCAAAAAAUAAAACUGAUCAGAAAAACAUUAACCUAGGUCUGUUUGAGCUCAAAAAUAAAAUAGAAAUUUAUGAUGUGGGAAAAAGCAAUAAUAAAAUAGAUAUUGAAAAAAGCAUCCUGGUUAAUCACUGUCGCAGAUGUAAGAAUAGCCAAGCUGGAGUUCUGGAUAUCAGCUGUUAUGGAUUUGAGUCAAAUCAUCUUCCUUUUGGUCUGUUGAAAUUGUUUUGGUUAAUCUCUCUGGAAUCCAAAUCGGCUGCUGUUCUCCCUGUGGAAAAACACAAACAGAGCCCCAACUCGAGACAAUCACUGGGUCAGGACCUUUCCAUUGUCCUGUUAGAAUAUCCUUCCAAAGUACCUUAGGCUUAUGUAAAUUUUUUGGAUACAAAUGUCUUUCCGCAGCACUAAGCCCUGAUGAAUCCAAAUUUAAAAUUUUAGAGUAAAAAGAGUUAUUUUAAGUUUAUCUUUGGGGGAUUAUAUACCCCUUUCCAAUUCCCUCCUUUUGUUUUAAUAAGUACAUUUUAAUAGUUUGAUGAGCUCUUUCAACUAUGCCUUGUCCUUGUGGAUUGUAUGGAAUUCCUGUUAUGUGAGUAAUGCCAAAUCAUGAGCAAAAUUGUUUAAAAGAGGUAGAAGCAUAACCAGGACCAUUAUCUGUUUUUAACUGUUUUGGAACGCCCACAGUGGCAAAAUUUUGUAAGCAAUGAGCUAUAACAUCUUUAGUUUUUUCUCCGGAAUGAAGGGAGCCCAUCAAAAAUCCGGAAGAAGUAUCAACUGUAACAUGCAAAUAUUUUAAUUUUCCAAAUUCUGGCAAGUGUGUGACGUCCAUCUGCCAAAUAUGGUUAGGUAUCAGUCCUCUAGGAUUGACUCCAAGAUUAACUUGUGGUAAAAAUGUCACACAAUUUUGACAUUGUUUUAUUAUAUGUCGGGCUUGUUCUUUAGUUAUUUUAAAAUGCUUUUGUAAAGUAUUAGCAUUGACAUGGAACCUUUUAUGAAAAUUUAUAGCUUCUUCUAUUGUGGAGAAAAUAUGUAUGUCAUGUGUAGAUUUAUCUGCUAAUUCAUUGCCCAAACUAAGGGCUCCAGGCAAUCCUGUAUGUGCCCUGAUAUGUCCUAUAAAGAAUGGAUCUUUUCUGUCCCAGAUUAGACUUUGUAUAGUGGAAAACAAAGAGAAAACAGUAGAAGAAGGGGAAAUCCUACCAGCAUCUUCAAGGGAUACUAUAGCAUUAACUACAUACUGACUAUCAGAAAAUAAAUUAAAUACAGAAUCUUUAAACAUCACAAAAGCUUGUAAAACUGCAUUAAGCUCUACCUUUUGAGCUGAUUGUUUGGGUACUAAAAAUGUAAAAGUUUGAUCAGGGGUAACUACUGCUGCUGUACCAUUAUUUGACCCAUCAGUGAAUAUAUUUGGAGCAUUCAUGAUAGGGGUUUUUCUUGUCAUUUUUGGAAAAACUACAGGAUGCUUAGACCAAAAAGACAACAAAGGAUUAGAUGGUAAGUGAUUAUCAAAUGAAACAUUAGAUUUACACAUGAUUAUUGCCCAAGUAUUUAACUCAUUAGCUAACUCAUCAAUUUGAUCCAUAGUAUAUGGAGUAAUAAUUUUAUUGGGAGAAAUCCCAAACACUCCCUUGGCUGCUUUUAUUCCUUUGAGUAUUAAUUGUCCUACAGCCUCAGGAUACCUAGUAAGAAUAGUGUUAGGAGAAUAAGAUAAAUGUAUCCACAAUAAUGGACCUUCUUGCCAAAAUACUCCUGUAGGAAUAUUUUUUGUUGGUAGUACAAUAAAUAAUAAAGGCAAACUUAUAUCAAUUCUAUCCAAAUGCAUAUUUUCCAUAUAUGUUUCAAUGAUUUUUAAUGCCUUUCUUGCUUCAGGCGUCAACAUGCGGGGUGAAUUUGGAUCUGAUGGACCUUUUA